CACAGAAACUGGGAUGAUGGUUUGUGCCUAGUCCCAUCAGGAUGAGGAAUCAGCAUGCAGAAAUUUCAGGUCAAAGAAAAUACUGAAAAACUACAGAAACCAGUAUCUGUCUUGCAACAACAGAAAGAACAACAGCAGUUGCCAUGAUGAUUAAAAUACAUUAAGCACCUUUAUAUUCUGCACUAUCAGCAGUCCUGGAUAGCGCCUAUGAAAAGGUAAUUGUGGGUAGAUUACCAGUUGUGAGGAAUCAUAAGAAGCCAUUGGUAGAUCUGAAGGAAAAAACAGAGACUUGGAUGAGGCGUGAACGUGUAGGUCAUGGGAAGCUCUCAAGUUUCUAGGGAAGGCUUUAUGGGCAAGAGCCACUGGUUCUGGUCCUGUGGGGCCCAACUGUUACUCUCCUGAAAGGAACAGGAAGCCAUGUAGCAGGGCAGAGUAGGCCAUCUUGGGGAAAUGGAAGUUUUUGAAACUCUCAGCUGCUUAUUGUCUGAAACAAUGUCUACCUUGGGUAGCUAUUGUAGGGUUAUUUGUCCAAUUAUUCUAAUAAACAGAAGUACUGAAAUUUUGGUCAGAAAAUGAAGAUAGGUCUGGUAAUUUGAAUCGAAUAUCAGCUGGAGUUCAAAUGCAUGCUGUAGCUGCAGCACUGUUGCUAGUUUGUCCUUAAAAUAUGUCAAUACUUAGAUCUUAUUAAUCAUGAAAACUGUAUUUUUAUGCACAUUUUUUCCAGGAAGGAAACAGAUUUCCACUUUGAGAUUUCGAUUGUUACUGUGAAAGUGAGAAACAAAAUCAUUUUGGAAUGAUGAAGAAUACCUUGGGCUCUUUAGGGAUGUGGAGUGGGGGAAGUAUAUUUUGAAUAAACCAAUAGAAGUGCAAUUUUCUCUCACUUCUAGCUCUCAUACCUGUUUGCCAGCCAAUAAACUGAAAGAUUGGCUUUCUUUUUGACUAAUUUUGGAUAUGACAGCUUCACUAUACUCAUUUAUUAAUCAGAAAAAUUGUUAUUUUACUGCAUGACAAACAAUGAAUCACUUGUGUCAUAUUUUAUUAUUGAUUGAAUUUUCUAGGGGUGACAAAUUCAAGUACUUUUUUGUAUCCCAGGCCUUUAACAGACAGCUUACUUGUAUUUGUAUUUUGAACAGCAGCUUAAAAAUGAAAUGUCUGGUGUAUUGGGUUUGCAUGGCAAGGUUUUUGUAGUGGUGGGGCUACAGGGGCAGCUUCUGUGAGAAGCUGCUAGAAGCUUCCCCUAUGUCCGACAGAGCCAAUGCCAGCCAGCUCCAAGACGGACCCGCCGCUGGCCAAGGCCAAGCCCAUCAGUGACGGUGGUAGCGCCUCUGGGAGAACAGAUCAAAGAAGGAGAAAAAGUUGCUGCGCAACAAGAAAACUGCAGCUGGAGAGAGGAGUGAGAAGAUGUGAGAGAAACAAUCCUGCAGACACCUAGGUCAGUGAAGAAGGAGGGGGAGGAGGUGCUCCAGGCGCCGGAGCCCGUGCAGAUUCCCCUGCAGCCCGUGGUGAAGACCAUGGUGAGGCAGGUUGUCACCCUGCAGCCCAGGGAGGUCCACGGUGGAGCAGAUAUCCACCUGCAGCCUGUGGAGGACCCCACGCUGGAGUAGGUGGAUGCCCAAAGGAGGCUGUGACCCUGUGGGAAGCUCGUGCUGGAGCAGGCUUCUGGCAGGACCUGUGGAUCUGUGGAGA